rnacentral:rRNA from 2 species
UAGGGAAUUUUCGGCAAUGGGGGAAACCCUGACCGAGCAACGCCGCGUGAGUGAUGACGGCCUUCGGGUUGUAAAGCUCUGUUGUAAGGGAAGAACGGUAGAUAGAGAAUAUCUAAGUGACGGUACCUUACCAGAAAGCCACGGCUAACUACGUGCCAGCAGCCGCGGUAAUACGUAGGUGGCGAGCGUUAUCCGGAAUUAUUGGGCGUAAAGGGUGCGUAGGCGGCCUGUUAAGUAAGUGGUUAAAUUGUUGGGCUCAACCCAAUCCAGCCACUUAAACUGGCAGGCUAGAGUAUUGGAGAGGCAAGUGGAAUUCCAUGUGUAGCGGUAAAAUGCGUAGAUAUAUGGAGGAACACCAGUGGCGAAGGCGGCUUGCUAGCCAAAGACUGACGCUCAUGCACGAAAGCGUGGGGAGCAAAUA